AACCUGGUUGAUCUUGCCAGUAGUCAUAUGCUUGUCUCAAAGAUUAAGCCAUGCAAGUGAAAGUAUAUGCAUAUUUUAUAUGUAGAAACUGCGAACGGCUCAUUAAAACAGUUAUAGUCUACUUGACAUUUUUUUUAUAAGGAUAACUACGGAAAAGCUGUAGCUAAUACUUGCUUUAAUACUCUUAAUUCUUAUGUUUUUUUGAGUAUGUAUUUGUUAAGCCUUAUAAGAGAAAAGUAUAUUAACUUAAGGAUUAUAACAAAGAAGUAACACAUAAUAAAUUUCGAAUAUUUAGUGUGUAUCAAUCGAGUUUCUGACCUAUCAGCUUUUGAUGUUAGGGUAUUGGCCUAACAUGGCUAUGACGGGUAACGGGGAAUUAGAGUUCGAUUCCGGAGAGGGAGCCUGAGAAAUAGCUACCACAUCUAAGGAAGGCAGCAGGCGCGUAAAUUACCCAAUUCUAAAGAAGAGAGGUAGUGACAAGAAAUAACAAUGCAAGGCCAAAUUUUGGUUUUGCAAUUGGAAUGAUGGGAAUUUAAAACCUUCCCAGAAGGCAAUUGGAGGGCAAGUCUGGUGCCAGCAGCCGCGGUAAUUCCAGCUCCAAUAGCGUAUAUUAAAAUUGUUGCAGUUAAAACGCUCGUAGUUGAAUUUCAAGGAAUCAAUAUUUUAAGUAAUGCUUUGUAUAUUUAUAACAUAGUUGUACGUUAAGAAUAACCGCCAAGGCUUAUAUUUUUUCUGUUACAUUUUGUUUUAUUAAUAUAUAUAUGCGUUCUUAUUAUAAAAAUGAUUCUUUUUAAAAUUCUUUUGUAUAAUUUUUUAUGCAUGGGAAUUUUGUUACUUUGAGUAAAUUAGAGUGUUCAAAGCAAACAGUUAAAACAGUUUCUGUGUUUGAAUACUACAGCAUGGAAUAACAAAAUUGAACAAGUCAGAAGUUUGUUCUUUUUUCUUAUUUUGGCUUAGUUACGAUUAAUAGGAGUAGCUUGGGGGCAUUUGUAUUCAGAUGUCAGAGGUGAAAUUCUUAGAUUUUCUGGAGACAAGCAACUGCGAAAGCAUAUGCCUAAAAUACUUCCAUUAAUCAAGAACGAAAGUUAAGGGAGUGAAGACGAUCAGAUACCGUCGUAAUCUUAACCAUAAACUAUGCCGACUAGGUGUUGGAUGAUAGUGUAAAAAAUAAAAGAGACAUUCUUAUAUAUGAGUGUUUCUUUUAGAUAGCUUCCUUCAGUACCUUAUGAGAAAUCAAAGUCUUUGGGUUCUGGGGCGAGUAUUCGCGCAAGCGAGAAAGUUAAAAGAACCGACGGAAGGGGACACAGGCGUGGAGCUUGCGGCUUAAUUUGACUCAACACGGGGAAACUCACUAGUUUAAGACAAGAGUAGGAUUGACAGAUUAAUAGCUCUUUCUUGAUUUCUUGGAUGGUGAUGCAUGGCCGUUUUUAGUUCGUGAAUAUGAUUUGUCUGGUUAAUUCCGAUAACGAACGAGAUCUUAACCUGCUAAUUAGCGGUAAUACACUAUAUUCUUAAGUGAAAUUAGAAUAUAGAUAAAUUGUGCUAAUUUUGAUUAAAAUAUUAGAAUGUUUUUUUUAAUAAAAACGUUCUUUUCCCUUUUUUUCUUAAUUAUGCAUAUUUAUUCUUUUUCUUUUUUCGCAUAAGAAUGUAUUUGCUUAAUGUAAGCUUCUUAGAGGAACGAUGUGUGUCUAACACAAGGAAGUUUAAGGCAACAACAGGUCUGUGAUGUCCUUAGAUGAACUAGGCUGCACGCGUGCUACACUGAUAUGUAUAACGAGUAUUUAAAAAUAUAUAUCUUGUUAUGUUAUACGUAUUUCUAUAUGUAUGCAUACAAAGAAUAUAUAGUUUGCUCACUGAAAGUGUAGGUAAUCUUUAUCAAUAUAUAUCGUGAUGGGGAUAGAUUAUUGCAAUUAUUAAUCUUGAACGAGGAAUGCCUAGUAAGCAUGAUUCAUCAGAUUGUGCUGACUACGUCCCUGCCCUUUGUACACACCGCCCGUCGCUCCUACCGAUUGAAAGAUAUGAUGAAUUGUUUGGACAAGAAAAAAGGUUUUUAUUCUUUUUUCUGGAAAAAUCGUAAAUCCUAUCUUUUAAAGGAAGGAGAAAGUCGUAACAAGGUUUCCGUCGGUGAACCUGCGGAAGGAUCAUUA
rnacentral:rRNA from 1 species